UAUUUAUAUGCACACAUUUCAUAUGUUAUAUGCCGCAUAAUACUUAUAUAUACACAACUAUCUAUAAGUGGGUAUAUAUCCGUUUACACAUUGGUUAAUCUUUUUUAUUUUUCUAUAAAUUAGAAUUAUGGUAAUAUAAAAUUUGUGACUUCAUAAUUUUUGCAGCAUUUAGGUCAAAUGAUUAAAUGGAAUAUUAAUACAUAAAUUUCAAUAUAAUACAUACAUAUCUGCCCAGAUAUCUAUAUAUGUACUAAAGUGUAACGUAAAAGACUUUCGCUAUUAGGCUGUUUAGACAAGUCAGUUGGAACACCUAUGAACUGAUCGUUAUUGUAACAAUGGCAUCUAGACCUGUCACCUGAGUGAUAUUGCACCUGCUCUGUUUUCUAUGUUCAAAGUAAGUGCACAUACUUUGAAUAGUUUGUAUGUGAGAAAAACAAUUUCACCUUUUAAAUUAUACACAAGAUAUAUAUUUCUAGAUAUUCCGUAAAAAUGCACACACUGCCCUUUGCAGCCUGGUAACGUGGGAGGCGGAGUAUAUGUAGAAAGUUGCUUCACUAUUACUGUGUUAGUGAUUUUUGUGUAAGUAGGAUAAAUUACUAUAUAUAAAUAUAUAUUUUUUUCAUUAUGGUAUAUGUCUUUAUGGAACAGUG